CCCCUUGGCGCCUGGUGCUGUGCACUCGGGGGCUACACCGAGACAGACGGCCGGUGCUUGGCAGGGCGGCGGCUAAAAUGGAAUUUCUGGUGCACGGCAGGAGCUCAGUGAUCUGGUGAAGGGGAGACAGGCCCCUGCGGGGACCCUCCAGAGCACGGGGGCUCCCUGUGGGGAGAAGACUGACAUGUCCCGUCCACCUGAGCGCCUGGCCGCCGUCCACGCUCAUAGGUCCCGCCACUCCUCGAUGGGCUGCCCGAGGUCCACGGUGUUCAUGGGCACCUUCACCUCCCCGAUGAUGUCGUGUUUGGAGAAGCGGUCAAAGUCGUAGAUGGCCAUCACCAGGGUCUUGCCCCCCAGCUCCUGGAGGAAGACUUUGACGUAAGGGUCUGAGGUGCCCCCCAUGUCCAGGGCAGGCAGUUCCGCGGCCUGCAGGACGCCGACUGUGAGCUGUGGGGAGAGAGCAUGG